rnacentral:misc_RNA from 1 species
GGUCCGUCUUGAACUUCAGACACUGGGAAAAGGAAAAACAUUCCAUAGCAUGAAUAAAGGCACCACUGAAGAAGACAGGAAAAACAAAGGAAUUCAGUAAUCUUUCUCCUUAUUUUCUUCUUCCAGUUGCAGAGAGCAGAGUGAUGCUAGGGGUGGUAGCACAAUAUGCAGAAGGGGAAAUUAAUAAUAUUUCAAAUAUUGGCGCUAAUGUUUUCCACCUAGCAUCAUUAUCACAUAGAAAUUAAAUCCCAUAGCACAUAAUCACUGAGCUAUUGUCUAACUAACCUGCAACUGAUAGAACUAUAGAAUGCUUUCUUCAAUAAUUUUUUGGUUA